rnacentral:rRNA from 1 species
UACGUAGGGGGCAAGCGUUGUCCGGAUUUAUUGGGCGUAAAGAGCUCGUAGGUGGUUCGGUAAGUCGGAUGUGAAAUCUCCAGGCUCAACCUGGAGGGGUCAUUCGAUACUGCCGUGACUAGAGGUCGGUAGGGGAGUGUGGAAUUCCUGGUGGAGCGGUGAAAUGCGCAGAUAUCAGGAGGAACACCGGUGGCGAAGGCGGGUCUCUGGGCCGAAAUUGACGCUGAGGAGCGAAAGCGUGGGGAGCAAACAGG